GGCCUGGCCUUGUCAUGCGUGGGGUCGCCGCGGGAAGGAGGAUGGCUCCUUGAGGGCUUGGCACAGAUACCUGAUGGUCAGAGGAAGCGGGGAGAGCCGGGUCUCUGCAGAUAUGAUAAAGCAAGAGGCCCUGAGACAGGAAAACUGUCCCGAGUUGUCUGGGUGUCCCCAAGUGCCAUCACAUGCUUCUUCAGGCAGAGGAAGCAUUGACCAACAGUAAACACUACAUGGGGACGGAGACGGAGACAGAGACUGCAGUGAUGUGGCCACAAGCCAAGGAAUGCCCGGGGCCCCCAGAAGCUGGAAGAGGCCGCAAGGACCCUCCAGAGCCUCCAGAGGGCGCCACGCCUUGAUCUCAGCCCAGUGAUGCUGAUUUUGGACUUGGACUCCAGAACAGUGACAGAACACACUUUUGUUGUUUCAGGCCCGCGGGCUGUGGCAGUUUAUCACAGCAACAGUAACAGACCUUGAAACCUGCGCCAAGGGCUUGGCAGGACAUUAUUGGUAGUCCUGAGGAGCCGUCAGUUACAAAACAAGAAAAAGGAAGGAAGAGAAAAAUACAGGUUUGGCCUGGUUUAAUGUUGCAACGGGAGGAUCCAUUUCCUUACCCUCCGCCAUCACCGAGCUGGGAACGGAGGGAGAAGAGGCCCCUCAACGUGGGUUUCUUCAACCUGGACUCUCCUUUUUGUGCAUCUCAGUGUCCUUGUAUUUGCAGCUGGGAGGUCGGCCCUGUCGUUCUCACCCCCACCUGUGGCACAGCAGAGAGAAGGGUGCAGAGGUCUUCACAGUGUGUCUGCACAAGGCUGGCCACCCUCUCCAGGCACUGUCCCCUCAGGGUUCACCUUCUGUCCACAGACCACACCCCUGUCUCCCCAUGGACUUUGUCCCUGUGGCUGCCGUGCCCAGGUAGCCAGACACCCCCAAGCCCAGCUCCACCUGCAGGGACCAGUGCUCCUCUCCUGUCUGGGCCUCAGUUCCAUCUCUGAAUACAGGCUUUGCCCCUGAAUCUAGGGUCCCUUAAAUUUCUUUUCUUUUUUUUUUAGACAGAGUUUCACUCGUCGCCCAGGCUGGGGUGCAGUGGCGCGAUCUCAGCUCACUGCAACCCCUGCCUCCCAGGUUCAAGUGAUUCUCCUGCUUCAGCCACCCGAGUAGCUGGGAUUACAGGCAUGCGCUGCCAUGCCAAGCCAAUUUUUGUAAUUUCAUUAGAGACAGGGUUUCCUCACGUUGGCCAGGCUGGUCUUGAACUCCUGACCUCUGAUCCGGCCUCCUCGGCCUCCUGACCUGCUAGGAUUACAGGUGUGAGCCAUCACGCCCAGCCGGGUCCCUUGAGUUUCUAAGAAUCUACAGAUCAUCGGCAGGAACUAGGAACAUCUGAGCAUUUUCUCGCUUCGUUUUUUUUUGGUUUAGUCUCUCAUUUGCAACCCCCAGCCACAGAGAAACGUUCAACAGCGUGACCAGGAAGACAGCGGCCCUGGAGGUCUCUGUGGUCAGCCCUGCUCUGAGGCCGUCGGGGUCAGGGGCUGCAUCUUCGUGGGGAAUCCCCGACAGCCCCUCGGAGCUCGGCUCGGAUUUCUCAGACAGGCACAUGCCUGGGUGCCAGCUUUUAACUCUUCCCUCUCCCCUCCUCUGCACUUCCGUUCCGGAAAAGAAACCCUUUCUCAGCAGGUGACAACAGUUCAAGGAUUCAGCCUCGCUGCCAGCGUCGUGUAUUAGCUCUGAUAUGUGAUGUCUACACCAGGCAGUGGCGCGGUGAAGUAAAGGGCUAUAAUAAAUACACAAAAUCUGGCCAGGCGCGGUGGCUCAUGCCUGUAAUCCCAGCACUUUGGGAGGCCGAGGUGGGUGGAUCACCUGAGGUCAGGAGUUCAAGACCAGCCUGACCAACAUGGUGAAACCCCAUCUCUACUAAAAAUACAAAAAUUAGCUGGGUGUGGUGGCGCACCCCUGUGAUCUCAGCUACUCGGGAGGCUGAGGCAGGAGAAUCGCUUGAACCCGGGAGGCGGAGGUUGCGGUGAGCCGAGAUCGUGCCAUUGUACUCCACCCUGGGCAACAAGAGCGAAACUCUGUCUCAAAAAUAAAUAAAUAAAUAAAUACAAAAUUAGAAAGAACCGGCUGCCAACUCUACCAAGAGAGAAACAACUAUACAUUUUAUUGUUGAGAAACAUUUUCUUAAAUAAGUGUUUUCACUUCAUUCCUUAUUGAAACAGCUCUUCCUUGACCUGUCGAAACUGCGUUGGCUGUGUUCAACAUAACUAGAGGUAUCUUUGGCAUUUUCU